rnacentral:ncRNA from 1 species
AUAAUGAUACUUCUAUCCAGUUAUAAUCCGAGCGUUAAAAGCGUCGCAGGUAAUAAGGAUAGUUCGGGCUGAGGCCGGGGAGGUGAGAUUCCUAUGG